rnacentral:sRNA from 1 species
GUUAGGUCUGAGGGAGCGAUGGCGGUAGGCGCGUUGAAGCUGCUGACCACACUGCUGGCUGUCGUGGCCGCUGCCUCCCAAGCCGAGGUCGAGUCCGAGGCAGGAUGGGGCAUGGUGACGCCUGAUCUGCUCUUCGCCGAGGGGACCGCAGCCUACGCGCGCGGGGACUGGCCCGGGGUGGUCCUGAGCAUGGAACGGGCGCUGCGCUCCCGGGCAGCCCUCCGCGCCCUUCGCCUGCGCUGCCGCACCCAGUGUGCCGCCGACUUCCCGUGGGAGCUGGACCCCGACUGGUCCCCCAGCCCGGCCCAGGCCUCGGGCGCCGCCGCCCUGCGCGACCUGAGCUUCUUCGGGGGCCUUCUGCGUCGCGCCGCCUGCCUGCGCCGCUGCCUCGGGCCACCGGCCGCCCACUCGCUCAGCGAAGAGAUGGAGCUGGAGUUCCGCAAGCGGAGCCCCUACAACUACCUGCAGGUCGCCUACUUCAAGAUCAACAAGUUGGAGAAAGCUGUUGCUGCAGCACACACCUUCUUCGUGGGCAAUCCUGAGCACAUGGAAAUGCGGCAGAACCUAGACUAUUACCAAACCAUGUCUGGAGCGAAGGAGGCCGACUUCAAGGAUCUUGAGACUCAACCCCAUAUGCAAGAAUUUCGACUGGGAGUGCGACUCUACUCAGAGGAACAGCCACAGGAAGCUGUGCCCCACCUAGAGGCGGCGCUGCAAGAAUACUUUGUGGCCUAUGAGGAGUGCCGUGCCCUCUGCGAAGGGCCCUAUGACUACGAUGGCUACAACUACCUUGAGUACAACGCUGACCUCUUCCAGGCCAUCACAGAUCAUUACAUCCAGGUCCUCAACUGUAAGCAGAACUGUGUCACGGAGCUUGCUUCCCACCCAAGUCGAGAGAAGCCCUUUGAAGACUUCCUCCCAUCGCAUUAUAAUUAUCUGCAGUUUGCCUACUAUAACAUUGGGAAUUAUACACAGGCUGUUGAAUGUGCCAAGACCUAUCUUCUCUUCUUCCCCAAUGACGAGGUGAUGAACCAAAAUUUGGCCUAUUAUGCAGCUAUGCUUGGAGAAGAACACACCAGAUCCAUCGGCCCCCGUGAGAGUGCCAAGGAGUACCGACAGCGAAGCCUACUGGAAAAAGAACUGCUUUUCUUCGCUUAUGAUGUUUUUGGAAUUCCCUUUGUGGAUCCGGAUUCAUGGACUCCAGAAGAAGUGAUUCCCAAGAGAUUGCAAGAGAAACAGAAGUGAGGACCUUGAAGAAACUGCAUGGUUGGAUCAGUCUGAUGAAGCACUUGAGGCUUCCUGAGCCCAGGCAGAUGUGAACUCCUGGCAAGGGGUGGGCAGGUCCAGUUUGGGAAGUCGGGGUGGAGCCCAGGGCUGGCCCUGGAAUGCAGUCCUCAGAGCGGCUGUGCUCAUAGGUCAGAACGGGAAACAGCCGUACGCAUCUCCCAGGAGAUUGGGAACCUUAUGAAGGAAAUCGAGACCCUUGUGGAAGAGAAGACCAAGGAGUCACUGGAUGUGAGCAGACUGACCCGGGAAGGUGGCCCCCUGCUAUAUGAAGGCAUCAGUCUCACCAUGAACUCCAAACUCCUGAAUGGUUCCCAGCGGGUGGUGAUGGACGGCGUAAUCUCUGACCACGAGUGUCAGGAGCUGCAGAGACUGACCAAUGUGGCAGCAACCUCAGGAGAUGGCUACCGGGGUCAGACCUCCCCACAUACUCCCAAUGAAAAGUUCUAUGGUGUCACUGUCUUCAAAGCCCUCAAGCUGGGGCAAGAAGGCAAAGUUCCUCUGCAGAGUGCCCACCUGUACUACAACGUGACGGAGAAGGUGCGGCGCAUCAUGGAGUCCUACUUCCGCCUGGAUACGCCCCUCUACUUUUCCUACUCUCAUCUGGUGUGCCGCACUGCCAUCGAAGAGGUCCAGGCAGAGAGGAAGGAUGAUAGUCAUCCAGUCCACGUGGACAACUGCAUCCUGAAUGCCGAGACCCUCGUGUGUGUCAAAGAGCCCCCAGCCUACACGUUCCGGGACUACAGCGCCAUCCUUUACCUAAAUGGGGACUUCGAUGGCGGAAACUUUUAUUUCACUGAACUGGAUGCCAAGACCGUGACGGCAGAGGUGCAGCCUCAGUGUGGAAGAGCCGUGGGAUUCUCUUCAGGCACUGAAAACCCGCAUGGAGUGAAGGCUGUCACCAGGGGGCAGCGCUGUGCCAUCGCCCUGUGGUUCACCCUGGACCCUCGACACAGCGAGCGGGACAGGGUGCAGGCAGAUGACCUGGUGAAGAUGCUCUUCAGCCCAGAAGAGAUGGACCUCUCCCAGGAGCAGCCCCUGGAUGCCCAGCAGGGCCCCCCCGAACCUGCACAAGAGUCUCUCUCAGGCAGUGAAUCGAAGCCCAAGGAUGAGCUAUGACAGCGUCCAGGUCAGAUGGAUGGGUGACUAGACCCAUGGAGAGGAACUCUUCUGCACUCUGAGCUGGCCAGCCCCUCAGGGCUGCAGAGCAGUGAGCCUACGUCUGCCACUCAGCCGAGGGGACCCUGCUCACAGCCUUCUACAUGGUGCUACUGCUCUUGGAGUGGACAUGACCAGACACCGCACCCCCUGGAUCUGGCUGAGGGCUCAGGACACAGGCCCAGCCACCCCCAGGGGCCUCCACAGGCCGCUGCAUGACAGCAAUACAGUACUUAAGUGUCUGUGUAGACAACCAAAGAAUAAAUGAUUCAUGGUUUUUUUUA